CCUACGGGUGGCAGCAGUGGGGAAUAUUGGACAAUGGGCGAAAGCCUGAUCCAGCCAUGCCGCGUGUGUGAAGAAGGCCUUCGGGUUGUAAAGCACUUUCAGUGGGGAAGAAAGCCUUGGGGCUAAUACCCUCGAGGAAGGACAUCACCCACAGAAGAAGCACCGGCUAACUCCGUGCCAGCAGCCGCGGUAAUACGGAGGGUGCGAGCGUUAAUCGGAAUUACUGGGCGUAAAGCGCGCGUAGGCGGUCUGAUAAGCCGGUUGUGAAAGCCCCGGGCUCAACCUGGGAACGGCAUCCGGAACUGUCAGGCUAGAGUGCAGGAGAGGAAGGUAGAAUUCCCGGUGUAGCGGUGAAAUGCGUAGAGAUCGGGAGGAAUACCAGGGGCGAAGGCGGCCUUCUGGACUGACACUGACGCUGAGGUGCGAAAGCGUGGGUAGCAAACAGGAUUAGAUACCCGAGUAGUC
rnacentral:rRNA from 1 species